rfam:Triticum urartu cultivar G1812 contig1108393, whole genome shotgun sequence.
CAAGUACUCCCUUAGUUCGGAAAUACUUGUCCGAGAAAUGAAUGUAUUUAAAUGUAUUUUAGUUCUAGAUACAUCCAUUUGUAUUCAUUUCUGCGGCAAAUAUUUCCGGACGGAGGGAGUACUAG